CAAAAAACAUGAUAGUGGAAGAAUAAAAAAAAAACCAAAAAACCCAAAAACUAUUUACCCUGCCAGGCUUGAAGCUCAUCAGGCUGUGCGGCCUGUAACCUCUGAUGGCGAACACGUCUUGACUGUGGUCUUCUGACGCUCCUCUCGCUGCCCAUCAUCUUCCACAUUCAGGCCUCAGUGGAUCCUUAUCAAAUGCACUGAGAGAGCAAAUACCACCAAACCCUGGCUUCGUAACUAGAGAUCUGCGAACUGUUGAAAUUACGUGCAUGAUGUUCCACAUGUACGUAUUAUGGGACUCCAGGAUUGCUGAACAACUUGAUUCCAACCCUGAGCAUGGCAAGGGCAAAGGACUGUCAUGGGAAGCAGGAGAGAGGAUGGUGAGGUCUCAGUUCGCCUAGAGUUUCCCUACUGGGCAUGCACACGCAGCAGAGGAAGAAC